rnacentral:rRNA from 1 species
UACGUAGGGUGCGAGCGUUAAUCGGAGUUACUGGGCGUAAAGCGUGCGCAGGCGGUGAUGUAAGACAGUUGUGAAAUCCCCGGGCUCAACCUGGGAACUGCAUCUGUGACUGCAUCGCUGGAGUGCGGCAGAGGGGGAUGGAAUUCCGCGUGUAGCAGUGAAAUGCGUAGAUAUGCGGAGGAACACCGAUGGCGAAGGCAAUCCCCUGGGCCUGCACUGACGCUCAUGCACGAAAGCGUGGGGAGCAAACAGG